GAUCCGCUAGCUCAGUAGGUAGAGCACAUCCCUUUUAAGGAUGGGGUCCCGGGUUCGAGCCCCGGGCGGAUCA
rnacentral:tRNA from 1 species